AUUGAACGCUGGCGGCAGGCCUAACACAUGCAAGUCGAACGAGUGGCGGACGGGAGAGUAAUGUCUGGGCAACUGCCCGAUGGAGGGGGAUAGCUACUGGACACGAUAGCUACUACCGUCUAGACUAGGCUGUGCCCAGAUGGGAUUAGCUUGUAGGUGGGGUAACGGCUCACCUAGGCGACGAUCCGUAGCUGGUCUGAGAGGAUGACCAGCCACACUGGAACUGAGACACGGUCCAGACUCCUACGGGAGGCAGCAGUGGGGAAUAUUGGACAAUGGGCGAAAGCCUGAUGCAGCCAUGCCGCGUGUAUGAAGAAGGCCUUCGGGUUGUAAAGUACUUUCAGCGAGGAGGCGUUACCCGCAGAAGAAGCACCGGCUAACUCCGUGCCAGCAGCCGCGGUAAUUC
rnacentral:rRNA from 1 species